rnacentral:rRNA from 2 species
CCCUGGCUCAGGACGAACGCAGGCGGCGUGCCUAAUACAUGCAAGUCGAGCGGAAUGAUGAAGAAGCUUGCUUCUUCUGAUUUUAGCGGCGGACGGGUGAGUAACACGUGGGCAACCUACCUUGUAGAUUGGGAUAACUCCGGGAAACCGGGGCUAAUACCGAAUAAUCCAUUUUGCUUCAUGGCAAGAUGUUGAAAGGCGGCUUCGGCUGUCACUACGAGAUGGGCCCGCGGCGUAUUAGCUAGUUGGUAGGGUAAUGGCCUACCAAGGCGACGAUACGUAGCCGACCUGAGAGGGUGAUCGGCCACACUGGGACUGAGACACGGCCCAGACUCCUACGGGAGGCAGCAGUAGGGAAUCUUCCACAAUGGACGAAAGUCUGAUGGAGCAACGCCGCGUGAGUGAAGAAGGUUUUCGGAUCGUAAAACUCUGUUGUAAGGGAAGAACACGUACGAGAGUAACUGCUCGUACCUUGACGGUACCUUAUUAGAAAGCCACGGCUAACUA